ensembl:lncRNA LINC03060 long intergenic non-protein coding RNA 3060
ACUGUGAACUGCGCAUGCGAGGGAUCUAGGCUGCGCGCUCCUUAUGAGAAUCUAACGCCUGAUGACCUAUCACUGUCUCCCAUCACUCCCAGAUGGGACCGUCUAGUUGCAGGAAAACAAGCUCAGGGCUCCCACUGAUUCUACAUUAUGCACACCAAAGAGAGUUCUAGAAAAAAUGAGAAUAAGAAAUUUACCUGUAAUCCUUGCUCAAGAAACUGAAGCUCUGAGGCCACAUUGUUCCAGCCUUUUGCAGCUCCUGCAUGUGGAUACCAGCACCAGCAGCUCCCCGACCAGGGGCCCCAGCUAAGCCCUCCCAGAGGAUGAUCUUGGCUUUGUACAUGGGGUGUCAAUAUCCUGUGAGUCCAACAGAGGGAAGACAUAAGAAUAUGGUCACCCAGGGCUCUGCUCAAGUCCCUGCACCAAUGCAACCUGCCAAGGGAAAGCGCUCACCAUGGUUCUGUCUUGACCUGCCAGUUUAGAUACCCAUCUAAAGUCACUGUCGCUUACAGUUGUGGCAAUUCUGAAUGUCGACAGGAGAAUGUCUCCCGGAUUUCAGCCUUUUAGAAGAUAAAAUGGUCCUAUGUGUUCAUGAACAAAACCCACCAGUUUCCCCAGGGCAGUGAGUUACCUGACAUCUGGCAGAUUCCUGGAAGGUUUCCUCUGGCCCCAUACUGGGAUCCAUUCCUGGGACAACUAGAAGUGCCAGGGAGUUAAAGCCCCAAGAGCGACCUUCAAGCCAAUAAGAGAUGGAGUUGGAAUGAAAACCUCAGCUUCCUCAUACCUCAGUGGGACAAUCCUGAGAUGUGUUCCUCAAGUCUCUCCAAGGACCUGAUGGGACUGAGUCCUGGUUGCUCAUGAGAGAAACCAGCAGGACUGGAUGUCAGUGAUUGCACCAUGCAGGAUUACAGAUUGUGCUGAGUUUAGAUUUUCUGCCUUCCUCCUCAGUUGUCAGGCUGCUAGCCAGCUCUUCUGCUCCCAUGACACCUGCAUCGAAUGCCUGCCCUUUCCUUACUACAAGACCCUUUCCAGUUCCCAGAUUAGAAUCUGCCACAGGCUAGGAAUCCCACAUCCCAGUAGUGAUUUGGCUCCAAGUGCAAAGGCACCUAGUGUCUGCCUUUUGUUCAGCAGCUUGGUGAUGGACAUAUCCAGGACUCAGAGACCCCUUUCCCUCAGCUCUCUGAGUUGGAAGCUGUCAGGUGCAGAAGGGCAACAUCUUACAUACACAGGGUUUGGGCAGGUCUGGGCAGUGCCUGGUUAAUGUUAAAUAAUGCAGAUAAAGGAAUUGUUGACAUCUGAAAGUCAAUAUGAAAAUUGUAUGCACUGCUGUGACUCAUGCAACUUCACUCCCAGCCCUGGUUCUCAUGAUUCCAGAAGUGGAAAAAAUAAGGCAACUCUUUUCCUCACAAUUCAAAAAAAUACCUAUUGAGCAACAUCAGCUUGGCCCACACAAGACAAUUUUUAUCCCUUCCGUUAGUUAACUUUGCUUUGGCCAAAGGCCAGAAAAACCUCAUUCUUUACAGGCAACCUCAGACCACCAUCCUGGAUCCACUUCAAAAACUAACUGCAGACCUGUGUCUUACUAGAGGUGAUUUGGUAGCAUUGAAGAUCAAAUCCCGAUUUAAAAAAUUAAAAAAAAAAUGAACAUAAAAUGCAUUUUUAACAAUG